CUAAUUUCCCCCUCUUUGGGAACAGGCGCCAUUUGUGAAAAACAUGAGCAGGAGAACAUUCUAGAACACAAUCAAGGAAGCUAUGGGACAUUUCUGAGGGGGGAAGGGAAGCAAGUCAGAGUCUGAAGGUGAAGGACAUACCACUAAACUGUUAAGCUGAAAUGGAAAGAGUGAAGCCAGAACCACAGAGGUCACUGCUGGCUAUUAGCACCUUUUCCAGUCACUCUUGCUUCUAAAAUGUUGAAAAUGAGAUCCAGUGUGUGAGCCCGGAGAAGAGAUGCUGCUGUUUUAAAUAGAGUCAUGGGGGAGUCACUUCCCAUCCAAGAUCUUUAAAAUAGCCUAUGUGCUAUUCCCUCCAAGCUCAAGGACCAGGAGACAGAAGCCAACAUCUAGCCAGACAAGAUUUGUCUUGUGGUGGUUCUAGAGACGGGACCUCAUCAAGAACCCUGCACUGUGCCUCGUCCCCAGCCCUGAGAUGUUGACUCCUAACUGUGGUAUUUCAGCUUAAAUUGAUUCUGACUAGAUGCUACUGGCUAGGGGUGUGCCCCAGUGUCAGAGAACUUGCCUCGAAUGCAUAACAUUCCAAAGCUGAUCCCCAGCACUCCAGUAAGUCAAAACAAUGACAAAAGAACUCUCAUAUGUUGGGCAAGACUGUCAACUCACAUUUUAAAGAGAAGCGUUUAUUAAUCUGGGCACAGUGGUGCAUGCCUCUAAUCUGAGUACUCAGGGUACAGAGCAGAGGCAGAAGGAUCAGGAGUUCAAGACCGUCCUUGGUUACACCGUUAGUUAAAGACCAGCCUGGACUAUGUGAGAACCUGUCUCAAAAAGAAAGAAAGAAAACCAUUUGUGUUUUC
rnacentral:lncRNA from 1 species